AAUGCAAGUUAAAACUCUAAAACGCAAAGAAGAAACCUGAACUGUUGAGCAGCUGUAAUCCUAUGUUAAGCAAAAAUGGGAAAACAUCUCACUUUCAAAACUACAGCAGUGUCUGCUCAGUUCCCAAACGCUUACAGAGUGUUGUUAAAAGAAGAGGUGAUGAAACACAGUGGUAAACAUGCCCCCCCAACUUUUUGGAACAUGCUGUUGACAUCAAAUUCAAAAUGGGCAUAUAUUUUUCAAAAUACAAUCAAAUUUCUCAGUUUCAACAUUUGAUAUGUUGUCUUUGUACUAUUUUCCUUUAAAAAUAUGGUUUAUUUUUAUUCACAUUCUGCACAGCAUCCCAACUUCUAUAUAUAUAUAUAUAUAUAUAUGUUAGUUGAUUUAUAUAGAUGAAACCUGGACAGUAUAUAGAUCAAGCUACGUUAAUAUUGCUUUCUAACUUUAACCCUGUCAGCCCAGCAAAAACCCCAAUAUUCAAAUUUUCAAGCUAAUAUCCAACAGCAUAUUUAACACUGAAAAUGUCUACAGUUGUAGGGCAAAAACAAAACAAAAACAAAAUUGAGGCACUGUUCACAUUCAAGGGAAAUCUACACAGAGAAGGUGUACGCAAGUAAAAAAAAACACCACAUUUAGUGGAUAAUGCUCAUAUACUUACAUUAAAUUUCAGCUAGCUGAGCGCUUGGUCCUUUGUCAGCCUUGGCUCGAUCUUUCCGGCCACCUCCGCCAUCAGAUGCCAAGUUGAACCAGCGGAUAGCAUAAGAGUCUAUCUCGCAGUCUGGAACAGCUGUCUGACUCUUUCUAACAGCUCCUAAGAGGAAGUGAAAAAAGUGAACAGGUUGAUAAGUUCUCAACAGGACACAUUCCCUACUCUGACACUGGCUAAGUCAGUACUUUGCUUUUGCACUGAAGAGGCAUGAGAUCCAUUAUUAUUUUGUUUUUUUUUUCCAAAUAAUAUAAAAACUGAAACAAACAAUAACAAAGAAUCAAGAGCUAUUCAAAAUUCUAAAACACAAUGUCCUUUCUAUUCAUCAAUUUCAUCCUGGGUUCUGUACAAUCUACAAUCACGACUGGCAGGAGUGUGUGUAAAUCUGAGCGUAACAGUUAAACAACAGCUUAAUAACCUAAUCUACUAUCAAUAUCAUUAAUAUUUGUAAUAAGAAUAAAACAGAAAAUAACAAUAUUAAUCAUUUGUGCUAAUGGCAAUCCAGUACAAAUGUGGAUGUACUUAUUUUACAUGCACGAGUAAAAUCAACUAUUCCAUGUUCCAUUUAGAGACAUAUUACACUGUGCUUUUGUUUUCUAAUACUGACUCUGUUCAAAAAAUAAAUAAUACAGAACACAGCUAGUGCUGAGGCAUCUCAUACAUUGCAAUAAAACAGCGUUUAAAUGUUAUUUUACGAAAAUAAAUCACAUCAUAUUUUCUACGUUGUUUAGACAUCUUAGUCUUUUAUUUUGCCCUUACAAUGGCACUUGAUUUCAAGCACAGAAGCUGAUUCAUCAUUAAGCUCAAAUCUCUGCUUGUUGCAGAAGUUUUAUGAAUCAGACAGAGUAGUUUGUAUGUCAUUAAAAGUGGUCAAAUCGACGCUAAUGCACAACUUUGUAGAGAAAUUGUUGUUUAAAUUAAUUUGAUUCCCCCAAAAUUCCAUCUUUAAUAAAUAUCAGAGAAAUUAAACAUAAUGGUUACUAAAAAAAUUAAAUAUUUGUUGGAUAGGCAGUGCCUCAGAGUAGCCUGGUGCCAAGUUUGAGCUAUUUUGUCAGAAAAAAGUCUGUUGCCAAUUUCCUUAUUGUAGUCUGGGGUAAAAGGAUGCUGGCAUGCAAAAUUUCCUUUGAACAUGAAGCAUUCUGCAAGAAGGGUACAAAAAUUCCCAAAUCAAGAAUAUAAAAACUGUUAGCUGACUAUAAGAAAUGAUUAGAAGCUAUGAUUACAGCCAAAGGUGGUUUUACUACACACUGACUGAAAGGGUGUUCAAACAUCCUUAGGUUGGGUUAGUAGAUUGUGAAACCUAAAAAGUGCUUUGAAAGAAUGACGCUUUUCAAGAAUGACAAUAUAAAUAUGUUCUUCUUUCUUGUUGGAAUAGUUAAAUAUUUCAAAAUUUUAGAAAUUGAAAUGGCAAAAAUGGUUGAAUUCCAUCCUCAAUUCCAUGAUCCUUUUUAUAACCCAAAACAGAAAUGAGUAACAAAAAAUGCAGCAUGCAUGUACUUAGCUGGCUUACAUUAUUUAUGGCAAGAAAUUGCAAGACUGUUUGGCUGAAAUGAUUUAGGUGCAAAAAUCUGCUAAUCUUAAGCCUAGGGUUGUUCACCUCUACUGAUAAUUGAAAAUAUACUUUUAAAUCAAUCCCUUUCUUGCAAAAUGUUUGACCGACUAACAAUAGUAACUGAGCUAAAGACUGAUUCACCUGUCCAAACUGUAUUCUUGGAUACUUACUGAUCAGCAGACUUCUUGUAAUCAUUUCUUUGAAGCUCUUUUUACCAUUAACCCCUUUCCAAUUAAUAUUUUUGGCAACUGGAUCAGAAAAAAUCUUUGAAAGAACAUUCCAUGUCAGUCUUUUUGCAUUGGGUCCUCCAACUGCACCCAGAGCAGACACCUGACAAAAACAAGAUUCAUUGAUAAAUAUAAAUAUAGACUGGUACAUUUUGUUUUUUCAAUUGUUUUUUCCAUAGCAAUAACAGCGUUCAAAAGAUCAGUACAAUUAAUGAUCACUAAGAGCUAGGGGUGGGGAGAAAAAUCAAUUCUUAGAUGCAUCGCGAUGUGGAUGUGGAUGAUUCUGAAUCGAUUCACAAAUGUCAAAAAUCGAUUUUCAAAAUUUUAACUGAUAACAUAAUGUUGACGGAACGCAAAAAAUGGAACUUUGCAAAGUGCAGAAGUGCAGCGCCCGGACAGUCUGUGGCGGCACACUACAUUAAAAGCUAGUGCAGGAUUCACAACCCAAAUGUAAAUAAGAGUAAUUUUGUCCUUUCAACAAAAAUCAAACCACCUUGGGGGCCACAACACUUUAUGUCCAUUUUACCAUCUUGACUGUACACGUGUCUCAGUACGUGCUAAUGUCCUAGUAUAGGCUGAAAAUAUAAUACAAACAAAAACGCAGGCUUGCUUUGCUCUGCUUUAAGCUUAAGCUCAGCUGUAGCCACUUUUCUUGCAUCACCAGCAGGAAACUUUUCCACAAAAGUAGAACAGUUUCUUGUAAAAUGUCUCUCAAUAUUCUACUUUUUACGAGGCUGAAGUCACUUCCACCAUAAAUGGUGCCUGAGGCGCCAGAAUGUAUCUGCUGAACCAUUUAAGGUGGAACAGGACAAUUCGAACGAGAAGCUGGAGAACGAGAAACUGACUUCAGUUUCACGUGUUUUUUUAGUGUUUAACAGUUUCUCGUUGCAGAUUAAAGGUAUCAGGAAACCAGCUGGAGUGAUUAUAAAUGCAAAUAAGUCUAUUCGUCUCCAAACUAUGGAUGUUCGUCUGAAAUCUCUCUUUGCCUUUUCGUUAGCUACUAGCUAGGUGAACUAGCGGUUAUAGGCUACAUUAAUUCCAGCGUUUAACAUCAUUUAUUGUUUAAACUGUCUUUGAAUGAUCAGCAGAGCUUUAUUUUACUGCAAAGGAUGAUUAUUUCAUUUUUACUUAGAAAUCUAACUCUGAUGUGGAGCCACACUAGGCCAGUAAAAGAGCCGCAGGUCGAUCGAGCGAUGCCAAAGCUUCCACCCAAAUCGAAAAGCACCAAGCGAACUCUAUCGCAACUUUUAUUGCCAAGGAUUUGCAUCCAUACUCAGUUGUUGAGAACCAGGGCUUUCGCACUAUGUUGGACACUUUGGAGCCGAGACACAGCACCCCCCCCACUCUCUACAACGAGACAAAAACCAAAGUUAUGAAAUCACUGAAGAAAACGGGUAGAAUAGCUGUAAUCUGCUGCGUGACACCCACUGCCACAGAAUCUAAUUUCACCGUAACUGCGCAUUUUAUCGCAGAUAAGUGGCAGCAGCGUCUCAUGUGCUCCAAUCAAGAGCAGUGGAUGAGUCUCCCACAUCGCUUCCAUUUAUUGAUCUAUUAAUAAAAGAUAUUGGAAGUAAAUUCAUUCAGGAUCAUUACAAAUACUUUGCUUUAAAAGUACCAAGUUGUCACACAGUGAGAAAAUAGAAAUCCUGUAUAAAAAAAAUGCAUCAAGAUGCAUCGAUAAUCGUUUUAUGAUCGCAACAUAGCCUCUGAAUCAUAAUCGAAUCGAAUUGAAUCGUGAGAUGCCUAGAGAUUCCCACCCCUACUAAGAGCUCUUAAAAGGAAAGGUAACCCAGUGGUAAACAUGAUCCAGUCCUAACUUUUUUUUAACAUGCAGAAAUCAUACUUGGAAUGAGCGUAUAUUUACAAAAAAAACAAAAAAAAACAGUUCAUAAGGUAAAAAUAGAGUUCAUAGGAUAAAACAUCAAAUAUCAUGUUUUUGUACUUUUUAAUAAAGAUCAAACAGAAUUUACUAAUUACUGCUUUCUGUUUUUAAUAACAUUUCACAUGCGAAUACUUUUUUAAAACUAAACAUGGCCUUCACAUUUAACUUCUAAAAUGUGGGGGAAAAAUCUUGAAGCGAUAUUGUGGGACAUCUCUAAUUCUGAAUUAAAACAGGGAAAUGUCUUGGUUUCAAGUUGUAGUUUACUGGUUUGGAUGAUUUCAUUUAAAUUAGGAGACAUGCAGAGCAACUGGACAAAAUAAGACUAGUGUAACACUAAUAGAGAUUGUAAACAGAACAAGAUAAAAUAAAAAAGUUAAUGACAGAGAUAACCCACCAUGUUCUGCUUUGCCUGAAAGUUUCUUGAAUCUUUAAGCCAGUCCUCAAACUCAUCCACCUCAGACAUUGUGGCCAGUGGAAAACUGAUUUCUUGAGGCAUUUCUGCAACCGGAGACUCCGUACCCAUUCUAGCAGCAAGAUUAUUAACAGCAGCAGCAAGCUGAAUUUGCUGUUCUUUAAUAUGUUCCAGCAGCGUUAGGAUGUGCAUCUGAGCUGCUAGAAAAAGAAAGAGCGACAGCUCUGUCACAAAAGUAACUAUUGGUUAUUUUCAGUAGUUAAAUAUUUUAUUCAUUCUUAAAUCUUUCUUACAACUAGACAAAUUGGCAGAGGCAGGGUUGCCAGUUCUCAGUCAUCUUUUCUCAAGAUCUUCUACUAGGGAUCCAUCGAUACUGAUACUGGUAUCAGGCACUAACCUGAUACUGUGCUCAUUUACUCAUCCUCAUACUCAUAAAAAUGCACUGAUACCAAUUUCUGAUACCUCUUGCUACCAUGUGACAUAAGCCGAGUUUAUGCUGCCACACUAAACACAAUUACAACCAUUUCUUCAAUAUAGUUGGAGACAUACAGACUAGCAAAACAGGCGAAACAAGGCAUUUGCAGAAUUAGUCUGCAUAUGGCAACUUUACUCUUUCACUGAAUAAAAUUGCAAAGUAUAAGCUUUAAAAUAGUUAGAUUAAUAACUUUAUAGAUCUUUUUUUAUCGCCUUUGUAAAAUAGGCUGUAGAGAGAACGUACUGUCCUACCAUGCACAUUACCACCUGCUCUUAAGCUACGUUCACACAGCAGGUAAAAGUGGCCCAAAUCUGAUUUUCUCACCAAAUCCGAUUUUUUUGUUUGGCUGUUCACAUUAUCUUUUAAUUGUGACCUGUAUGCGACAUCAGUCUGAACAGAUCAGCUCCUAAACCGACCCACAUGCGCAAAAGAACAGAGCUUCACGUGGCUUGUCCAGAGGUAAACAAUCAUGACGGCCAGCUAACGCCAGCCCGGAGCUUUCAGUUUUGUCUUCGCCAGCAUCACAGGAGUGAUUAUGAAGUUGCAAUGGUUGACAGCUGGGCUCAUCACCCAGAAUGUGUUCGAGCCCGCCAUAAAAAGGGUGCGGUCACUUCUUUGGUACAUGAGGAGGAGGGAUGGGAACAGGUGGUGGUACUGGAGCUGAGGAAAGGUUAGAGCACCUCCUCUUGCUCACCACCUCUGGAUCACUGUCAGAGUCUGUAUCACCAAAUAGUUGCCUAAGAAACAAAUUUUAAAAAGUAUAAAAAAAAAAGAGUACAUAUGCAAGGAAGAAAUAAUUACUGAAACCACACAUGUAGACACCUACUGAUAUGUGAAAAACCUUAUGAUAAAACUGGCUAAUUAUUCUCUUUUCAAUGGAAUCACUCAUUUGCCAUUUGCAAUUGAACAAUGUAGUUGACCAUCAUUUUAAAUAUCAUACCUUGGCUUAAUUUUUCUCUUCCUGGUGAUUUCUUCUUCACUGUCUGUUUGUAAGUCUGAAGUAGGACAGUUCAGUGAAGACUUCAGUUUUUCUCUUGCUCUCAAAUAAUCACCUGAUCAGAAUUGAGAAAACAAUUAGUUCAACUAUGUAGUUUCACAUCUUAAAAACAGGAAUAUUUUAAAACAUGUAGUAAAAUAUUUCCCAAAUUCAGACAUUACAGGCUGCUGCACAGUGUUUGCACUCUGUUUUUAAAAAAUGACUCAGCUCAUGAAAAAUAAUAAUUUAAUUACUAACCUAAACAAUGUUUAAAAAAAAGAUACUCGAACACUACAUAGUGUAGGUAGUAGCUGCAUGACUGUAUUUGAAAAAUCUUACCUUUAAUUCAAAAUGAUAUUUUAUCUAAUUUUGCAAAUUAGUUCCAGCCCUAAUUAAAUACACAUUUUGCUUGAAUAAGGAAACCUUACUAGCUUUUGAGAGGAUUCUAACAUCAUACUGUUUCCAGUCUGGUCCUGGCUCCUCAUGUUUUUGAAUAGCUCUGUUAAUGCGCUCAUCACUCUUAUAGUUUGGCCACAAAGCUACACCAUCAUCAAGCCAAGUUUCUGAUAUAAUAUUUACAGUCUUGGUGUCAGUAAAUUCUACAACCAUGAACAUCUGAAAAAGAAGAUGUAAUGUUUAAGCUCCUGCAAGGAACAUAUCCAGCAUGUUAUGUAUGCAAUAUAUGCAACUACCUACAAUUACAACAUCUAAACAUGACAAUUUACAAUUGAUAUUUUCUCAAAUUGCAUUUGGAGUCCUAAAAAUAAAAGACAAAAGACUGACAAGAUCAAAUAAAACCCCCAUGCUUUUAUGCAACCACUUCUAACUGAUUAAGAAGCAAAGGAUGUGGAAUUAUUCAAGACAAAUGCUUUGGUGUUGGUAGAAGGAAGGUGUGUGGGGGUGUAGUAAUACAAAAAUAAAAAAUGAAUUAAGUUUAUAAAAUAAGUAAAUAAAAUGAAUACACAAAAAUGUAAGACCAAUAAGGCAACAUUUACCUACAUCUGUAACAUGAUCAAACUGUAAAACCCAUAAGACUACAUUUACCUACAUCUGUAACAUGAUCAAACUGUAAGACCCAUAAGACUACAUACACCUAACUCUGUAACAUGAUCAAACUGUAAGACCCAUAAGACUACAUUUACCUACCUCUGUAACAUGAUCAAACUGUAAGACCCAUAAGACUACAUACACCUAACUCUGUAACAUGAUCAAACUGUAAGACCCAUAAGACUACAUUUACCUACCUCUGUAACAUGAUCAAACUGUAAGACCCAUAAGACUACAUUUACCUAUCUCUGUAACAUGAUCAAACUGUAAGACCCAUAAAGCUACAUACACCUACAUCUGUAACAUGAUCAAACUGUAAGACCCAUAAGACUACAUACACCUAACUCUGUAACAUGAUCAAACUGUAAGACCCAUAAGACUAUAUACACCUAACUCUGUAACAUGAUCAAACUGUAAGACCAAUAAGGCUACAUUUACCUACAUCUGUAACAUGAUCAAACUGUAAGACCCAUAAGACUACAUUUACCUACGUCUGUAACAUGAUCAAACUGUAAGACCCAUAAGACUACAUACACCUACCUCUGUAACACGAUCAAACUGUAAGACCCAUAAGGAUACAUUCACCUAUGUAUGUAAAUAAUACAAAUUAUAUAUUACAGAACACAUAUCAUAUGCUAUAAAUAUUAGUGAUUAUGGAUACUUACAUUAUUUAAAUUCCAGAAGUAUCCAAAACUAUUCAAGAAUAUGAGCGCUGAUCUUAAUUUCAGUUGAUCUUUGUUGUGUCAAGUGUAUAAGUCAAGUGCUAUUAGUCAAAUUAUGUCACCCCCAACCCCAUUGCACUCUGCCCUCUAGCCUCACUGCUCCCUUAACUCAAACCCUUUUCCAUGACUAUGAAUGUGCAAGAGGGGCAUGGCCACAAACAUAUCUUUAUAAGGGAGGAGCACACACUUAUGCGACACUUGUGAUACAUUAGCAAACUUAUAUGGACCUAUUGCUUGAGAGACACAAAAUAUUUGAAGGAAAUCAGAGCUGAAAGGAUAGUCAAAAAAGUUCUCUCUUAUUGUGAAAACUUUAAAAACUACAUAAAGUCCAUCACUGCACUCAAUAAUGUUAUGUACAACACAUACAUCUCCACCUACAGAAAAAACAUUGUCACCUGUUGAAACUUUCAUUGCCCAUUUGUCAGUGUAUAAUUCUCUAUACUGUGCCACUGCUUGGAUGCCAUCAGGAACAGGCCCAACGUAAUGCUGCUUUCUUAAAUUCUUAAAAGGAAGCUCAACACUUGUAAUAUUUUGCAUUUCUGACAGUCUUCUUAUUAUCUGUGCAAGAGGAAAAUCUGGCUUUCUCACAAACCUCUUCAAUUUAUGGAGAUAAUUUUCAUAUGGAAAAGCUGAAAUAAAAUCUAAACAACCGUGUAACUGCACGUCUGCUGAAAGAUGGACCAAAGCAUGCACAUUAUAAACCAAUCCAUCUUUGCCAUAGAGCUCACCAAAAUGAGUUACAAACAUGGACAGCAACGUGUUUGCAUAGCCACUGUAUAAUGGGCAGAGCUGUGUACUAACAAGUAUACAAAUACCUGUACAGAGCAGCAUAAAGUUGUUAUAGACAUGACUGUCCAAAUAUGGUGCCAGAGCAACAGGACCUGUAUAUAAGAGAAACUGUCACAACUCAGUAGCUUUCCAACGAUCCAGCUCUCUUAGUGAUCUAGGUUUCCUUGCAAAUUCUGCUGGUAUAUGUGGACGCAUCUGAGUAAGUGUUUCUGAAAUCCUGUCGAUAACGCUUGAGGGCAAGCGAAAUUUCAAAGGACCCCUCAACCAAAUGCUUAACAAUCGACGCAUCACACCUAGACACACAACAUGCAUGUAGUCUAGAGGGAACUGAGUCACCAUACCGAUAUCUAGAUUGGCAAAACCAUGUGGUCCUUCAUGGUGAUGGCUCUCAUCAGUUCUCUCCAAAAAUGAAAUGUCAGUCCGUAAAGUGUAAUCAUUUAAGGGGUAAGUCAUUCGGUUGUUAAUGUAAACGCCUGGUUGGCAACAUUUAUCACAACCAUGAUAUGCAUUGUGGCCCUUCACAUUUUUUAUGAAGGCUCUGGCAGGUGCAUCACAGAUAACAGAAUCAAGCUUGAUAAACACUUUUUUUUGGCUGAAAAAAAAACCUCCUUGUAGCUGUUGUAAUUCGCAUGUAAAAUCUCUCAAAAACUCAUUAGGGCAACUUGGUUUUUUCUUACCACAAAAUAAACCAAUUACAACUGGUUCCUUCAUUGGCACACUUAGCAGAAGUCCUAAGAUUGGCCACAAUUGUAUGCUUGUGCUUUUAAACAGUGGUAACCCAUCAACGUUUAUUCGUAAUCUAAACGUAAAUCCCUCAGAGACUGUGUCUAUCACAUGUGAUAAAGUAUUACGAAGUGAUGUCAAAAUGCCUCUAUAAUGGUACAGCCCUCCAGCUUGUCUGUGGAUGCUAUACUGAGUUUGUGUUUUGAGAACAGUCCGCGCAUCCCUGGGCAGGUCUGGAUGGUACACCCUCAACACACAAAGGAGGGCUGUCAGAGCCACUAAAGAGAUGUUAAAACGCACAGCCCAUUUUGACAGCCUCUCAACUAAGGGUACUGGUGCAUCUGUAAAGUCUUCAGCCUCAGACCCUGAACUAACCUGUGUGACUGUACAGUCUAAGUCAUUCUGUCUGCCCGGUCCAAGUAAAUCAUAUGUCCUUUCUUCUCCCACACUGAGCCCAGUGUCAAAGUCGUCAUCACUGUCACUGUCAGUGUCAUAAGCAGCGUGACAAGGGUCUGGUCUGUUAACUACUGUCUGUUCCGAUGUUAACUGACAGUCUUCAGCUAUGUCAUGGAGUCGUUUCACUAAUGAUAAACGUGCCCUACGCCUGACUCCAGAGCUCGUUAAUGGGGGCUCCCUCCUUUUCAUUUAGGCUCUAAAACAGAUUAAAAGGUGAGAAGAAAAAACUAAAUGAUUGGUUAUCAACACUGCAAAUUAAUCUAUAAAAUUCAGUUGUUACAGCUUUAUGAGAAAUAAACAGUCUUUACUAGAGAUGGAAGGAUCGAUCUGAUAUGUAUUGAUAUCGGCAGAUUUUCAGUCCAAAUAUGCGAUCAACGAUCGGCCAAUAUUUCUGUAACUUAGCCAAUCCUGAGAGCUGAUCAGUGACGUAAAAUAUAUGAGCCAUAUUUUGCCUGAGGCGCCAGAAUGUAACUGCUGCACCAUUUAAGGUGGAAGAGGAAACUGACAAAUAGGAAGCCAACUUCAGUCUUGUCAUAUUUAUUUCACUAAUAAAAAACAUUUUUCCUGAGGUAUCUUAUUACAUAUUUGGCUCCUAUUGCACAGGAAACUUGCUGUGUGAAUGUGUAGAACUGUAAUUCACACGCUUUGAGGAUUCGCAUGUUAGCUAACAUUUAAAAAUGUGAAGCAAGAGGACUGUUUUGUCCUAAAGGCUGGCUAAGUUGCAUAGGGUCCAGUUUAUUAUUGCUGCACCAUUUAAUGGGAAAAUUCAAAUAAGAAGCUGGCGAAAAAGAAGCUGACUUCAGCUUCGAGGGCUGAAAGGCAUGAAAAGGGAUGAGGCUGUUAUUCUGUUUUUGCUGGGCAGGUGGGUUACAUCAACUUAUUUCUGCUGUUUCACAGAAUGAGAAGGUUAGUAUUUUAUUAUCCUAAUGUUUGUGGUUAGCUUCACAGUAGCAACUGUAGUGACUGUUAACCCACAACUUGCUUAGUUAUAUAACUUGCCGUGUUGUUGUUUACUCUAAUGUUAUAUCAUGGCAUUUAUCGGUACAAUGCUUGCAAAUGGUUUUAUGUCCACAAAAAUCUAAAAAAAAG